rnacentral:rRNA from 1 species
AACGAACGCUGGCGGCAUGCCUAACACAUGCAAGUCGAACGAGACCUUCGGGUCUAGUGGCGCACGGGUGCGUAACGCGUGGGAACCUGCCCUUAGGUUCGGAAUAACUCCCCGAAAGGGGUGCUAAUACCGGAUAAUGUCUUCGGACCAAAGAUUUAUCGCCUUUGGAUGGGCCCGCGUUGGAUUAGCUAGUUGGUAGGGUAAAAGCCUACCAAGGCGACGAUCCAUAGCUGGUCUGAGAGGAUGAUCAGCCACACUGGGACUGAGACACGGCCCAGACUCCUACGGGAGGCAGCAGUGGGGAAUAUUGGACCACGGGCGAAAGCCUGAUCCAGCACUGCCGGGUGAGUGAUGAAGGCCUUAGGGUUGUAAAGCUCUUUUACCCGGGAUGAUAAUGACAGUACCGGGAGAAUAAGCUCCGGCUAACUCCGUG